rnacentral:tRNA from 1 species
UUCCUGGUGGUCCAGUGGUUAGGACUGUGCGCUCUCACUGUCUAGAGCCCAGAUUCAAUCCCUGGUCAGGGAA